AGACAGGGAAAGGCUCUGUUGGGCUGCUCGGGCCCUGGAAGGGGCUGCCCAGGGACAUGGUGGAGGCACCAUCCCUACAGGUGUUUAAGGGGUGUCUGGAUCUGGUGCUGGGUGAUCUUUCGUGGUUACAGUGCUACUGCUGCAUUGAGGGUUGGACUGGACGAUCUCAAAGGUCUCUUCCAACAUUGAAGAUUCUAUGAUUCUAAAGUCCAUAAAGCCAUGGGAACAACUGGCUGGCUCUGGGAUAAUAAGCAUGAUUAGUAACAAGCCCUUCUCCAGUGCAAGGAGAGAGCAUGGGCACAGGGCAUCCCCACCCUGAAGGACAGGUGGCUUCAAUGGAGGGGACACAUGGUGGGGGAGGAAGGCUGAGAGCCACAAAGGACAAACGAAUCCAAGGUAGUGAGGAAUAGCUGUGGCUCCUUGGGGAGAACUUGGGGCUCAUGCAGAAGGCAGAUGAGGAAGGCAAGGAUGUGUGAGAGCUGGAGGGGUAAAGAGGGGCUGAAGCUCAGGGGAAGAGACUUGGGGGGGGAGCAGUGGGACACAGCAGGAGAGUGAGGGCAGUCACUGGAUCUGAAGACUUUUAAGAAACCCUUUCUAUGAUAAUCAAGUCUCAAACCUCAGAGCCCUGUUGUGACCACACGUAUGCUCUGCUUAUGGCAGGAGAGCACCUCAGCAAAGGAGCACAGGAAUUGGGUUGUCUUGAGGCUCAUUUCCUUGUUACUAUUAGGUGAGCACAAAGUCUCGAGUUCUGAGCUAACAGCUUCCCUUUCUUUUGCUCCGACCUCCCUCUUAGGUAAUUCAACACAGGCUAAAGUAGUACUGCAGAACUGAGGCUGUGGAGCUUAAAUGUAUCUUUGUUUCUGAAGUUUUGGGGCUCAUCCAUAACAAAAACAAACCCAGAGGUUAGAAAGAGGGUUUGCAGACUGAUCUGCAAAUGCAAAAAUACAAACCCUAUGAGUAUGUUCCUCUGUGUAUAAAAAUGAGCACAGGCAGAUGGGGAAAUAGAAGUCAACAAAUCCAAUUUCACUCGUAGUGGAAUCCAAUCUCUUGUGGCUUAAAGAAGUCAGAGAAUCUUCCCAUUUCAUUAAAUCAGACUUCUAAAUUUUAUUUCAGAAACAAAGGUAAUUUCCCCUACUCCUGUGACAAAUGUAUUCAUGGCAAUAAAGCCUACCACAACACAAGGCUGGCCACCCAGUGACUUAGAUAAAAACAAUGCCUGAUGACUUAGGGGCAAGUAUUUUUUCUAGAAAUAGGUUAUCUGUUAAAUAGCAACAGCAUCAUGAAAAACUAAUGCCAGUACAUUGUCUAGCUGUUCCAGGAGAGCUGAUACUUGAGCUCAUGCUGACAAUCCCCCAGCACAGGGAGCCAAAGGAAAUACUGUCUAGCAGGCAGAAAUGUCUGAGCUUACUUUACUGAUCCUCCCCACACUCCUGACUCAGCUGGUUCUGGAUGACAUUCCUGCGCACUCGGUAGUUCUUCGAAAAGAUUUCAAGCAAAACUUGGCGAUGCUUUAAAAGCAAAUGUAUCGGUUCUACAGGGGUCUCUCCAGACCCUGUGGCCACACCUGCACCUUUCCUGUGACCUGGAGCACCCCCAAAGGUACAAAAACACACUGAAGAAGGUGUUGCAAUGUAUUCCUCUUAAAUGCUUCCAUGGGAGUUCACUUCAGGCAAGAGGUUGGCUGGUGCUUGCCUCUUUCCUAUAAAAAUGUAUUCACUUUAUGGAGCUAGGAACUGCACUGCCCAUCCACAGGUCUUUAGGCAUCUUCCCUUUCACCUCGUUUACUACGACAGCAGUUAGAACUCAGCAGAUGCUCACAUAUGAGGUAAACAUUUCCUAAUCUUAAGUAUAAACAGAUACACCUGCUAAUCUCUGGUUAAUGUUGCAUUACCAUCAAAAGGAAAAAAAACCUUGGACUGGAUCGUGGUCUGAGGCCUGCACUGGAGAAUCCUUUCUUCUCACAGGUCCAGAAAUAGCCACUGAGCUGCUUACUGACAUGAUUACCAUUAUGUUAUGAGCUUGCUUUCAGCUGGAAACAGGUUGGUGUUGAAAACACCAAUAGAGAAAAACUAUCUGUUGUAUUACUUCCAGAAACAUGGAUGCAAACAAUGCCAAAUGCUCAAUAAAAACAUAGCGGGGAAUGUCAAUUAUUUUAU